rnacentral:lncRNA from 1 species
UAUUCCCAUUACAACAAAUGGUGACUUUCAGUUUAUUCAUAUUUCUCUUGAUAAUGAUAAAUUCAUUAAACACAUUUUUUCCUCAAAGCCUUUUUAUUUAAGUUUUUCAUAAAAAAAAGUAUACUGCUUCAGUAGGACCAUUUUUCAAACAAGAAAAUUGAGAUAUAAUUCUAAAGAAGAUGAGUUCGGCCAAUGACUUUGUGGCAGAGCUAAUAUUAGCACCCUAGCUUUUAAAUAAUUAUCCUCAUGCUGCUUUAUGAUGGACACUGUCCUCUGGGUCCUUUUGGGCUUUGUUUCUUUUCUUUGUUCUUAGAAGAUACAUACGGCAUUACUUUCAAGUUUCCUGAAUUUUAUACUACAGGUUUUCUGAAUUUUAUACUACCUUCUACUAAACCAUGAGGACAUUGACAUCCAUGUACUCCAUGCUAAUCCAUGACCUACUGAUGGCAUUCCAUAUUUUCUUGCAACUUACCCAUUAGCUUUUCAUUUUCCUUCUGCAUUUUUGAGCAGUCCACCUACCGAGCUCUUCACUGCACAGGAUAAAUCACAGUUGUCUCUUCUGUCUAACAAGGACCAAAAA